rnacentral:lncRNA from 1 species
GGCCUAUUUUUGGCAAACGGAGGCCCCUCGCAAAGUCUCGCGGCAUUCCGAGUCCGGCGGACGAAGGUGGCCAGCCCCCCCCCCCAAGGGUAUAGCCCACCCGUUUUUGUGGGCUUUCUCCGCUGGACGAACUUGGCGCCCAGGCCUUUGGGCGGUUAUUUUUGGGCGCGGCUUUGCCCGCGGCCUACGUUUGGGACACGGAGGCCCCUCGCAAAGUCUCGCGGCAUUCCGAGUCCGGGGGUCGAAGUGGGCCAACCCCACCCCCCAAGGGUAUAGCCCACCAGUUUUUGUGGGCUUUUUCCGCUGGACGAACUUGGCGCCCAGGCCUUCGGGCAGUUAUUUUUGGACGCGGCUUUGCCCGCGGCCUAUUUUUGGCACAUGGAGGCCCCUCAAAAAGUCUCGCGGCGUUCCGAGUCUGGUGGACGAAGUUGGCCAGCCCCACCCCCCAGGCUAUAGCCCACCCGUUUUUGUGGCCUUUUUCCGCUGGACGAACUUGGCGCCCCGGUCUUCGGGCGGUUAUUUUUGGGCGCGGCUGUGCCCACGGCCUAUUUUUGGCACACGGAGGCGCCUCGGAGAGUCUCGCGCCAUUCCGAGUCCGGCGGACGAAGUUGGCCAGCCCCACCCCCCAAGGCUAUAGCCCACCCGUUUUUGGGGCCUUUUUCCGCUGGAAGAACUUGGCGCCCCGGCCUUCGGGCGGUUAUUUUUGGGCGCGGCUGUGCCCACGGCCUAUUUUUGGCACACGGAGGCGCCUCGGAGAGUCUCGCGCCAUUCCGAGUCCGGCGGACGAAGUUGGCCAGCCCCACCCCCCAAGGCUAUAGCCCACCCGUUUUUGGGGCCUUUUUCCGCUGGACGAACUUGGCGCCCCGGCCUUCGGGCGGUUAUUUUUUGGGCGCGGCUGUGCCCACCGCCUAUUUUUGGCACACGGAGGCGCCUCGGAGAGUCUCGCGCCAUUCCGAGUCCGGCGGACGAAGUUGGCCAGCCCCACCCCCCAAGGCUAUAGCCCACCCGUUUUUGUGGCCUUUUUCCGCUGGACGAACUUGGCGCCCCGGCCUUCGGGCGGUUAUUUUUGGGCGCGGCUGUGCCCGCGGCCUAUUUUUGGCACACGGAGUCGCCUCGCAAAGUAUCGCGCCAUUCCGAGUCCGGCGG